rnacentral:rRNA from 1 species
GUCUACGGCCAUGCCACCCUGAACAUGCUUCCGUGUGAUCUUGGAAGCUAAGCAGAGUCGGGCCUGGUUAGUACUUGGAUAGGAGACCACCUAGGAAGACCAAGUGCUGUAGGGG